UACAGAGGGUGCGAGCGUUGUUCGGAAUUACUGGGCGUAAAGGGCGCGUAGGCGGCGCGAUAAGUCGAGUGUGAAAGCCCCGGGCUCAACCUGGGAAUUGCGCUCGAUACUCUUGUGCUUGAGUUCGGGAGAGGAGCGUGGAAUUCCCAGUGUAGAGGUGAAAUUCGUAGAUAUUGGGAAGAACACCGGUGGCGAAGGCGGCGCUCUGGACCGAGACUGACGCUGAGGCGCGAAAGCGUGGGGAGCAAACAGG
rnacentral:rRNA from 1 species